rnacentral:rRNA from 1 species
AUUGAACGCUGGCGGCAGGCCUAACACAUGCAAGUCGAACGGAGUGGCGGACGGGUGAGUAAUGUCUGGGCAACUGCCUCAUAGCGGGGGAUAACUAUUGGAAACGAUAGCUAAUACCGCAUACUGUGAGAUGGACCUGCGUUGUAUUAGCUAGUUGGUGAGGUAAAGGCUCACCAAGGCGACGAUACAUAUCCGACCUGAGAGGGGGAUCGGCAAAACGGGUACUGAUACACGGCCCAGACUCCUACGGGAGGCAGCAGUAGGGAAGCUUCGGCAAUGGACGGAAGUCUGAUCGAGCAACGCAGCGUGAGUGAAGAAGGUUUUCGGAGCUGAAAGCUCUGUUGUGAGAGAAGCGGUAACUAACCAGAAAGGGACGGCUAACUACGUGCCAGCAGCCGCGGUAAUAC